GUUCUUGCUUCAGCAGUACAUAUACUAACACUGGAACAAUAAAGAGAAGAUUAGCAUGGCCACUGGGCAAGGAUGACACAUAAAUUUUGAAGCAUUCCAUAUUUCA